GACGAACGCUGGCGGCGUGCUUAACACAUGCAAGUCGAACGGAAAGGCCCUGCUUGCAGGGUACUCGAGUGGCGAACGGGUGAGUAACACGUGGGUGAUCUGCCCUGCACUUCGGGAUAAGCUUGGGAAACUGGGUCUAAUACCGGAUAGGAGCCAUCUUUAGUGUGGGGGUUGGAAAGUUUUUUCGGUGUAGGAUGAGCUCGCGGCCUAUCAGCUUGUUGGUGGGGUAAUGGCCUACCAAGGCGGCGACGGGUAGCCGGCCUGAGAGGGUGUACGGCCACAUUGGGACUGAGAUACGGCCCAGACUCCUACGGGAGGCAGCAGGGGGGAAUAUUGCACAAUGGGCGCAAGCCUGAUGCAGCGACGCCGCGUGGGGGAUGAAGGCCUUCGGGUUGUAAACUCCUUUCGCUAGGGACGAAGCUUUUUUGUGACGGUACCUAGAUAAGAAGCACCGGCUAACUACGUG
rnacentral:rRNA from 1 species